rnacentral:tRNA from 5 species
GGCGAGAUAGCUCAGCUGGCUAGAGCACACGGUUCAUACCCGUGGUGUCGAGGGUUCGAGUCCCCCUCUCGCUA